rnacentral:rRNA from 1 species
UUGAGCUGCUGGAUUUCUCAAGAGACUUAUCCGGCCGGCUACAGACCCUUUAGACCCAAUAAUAACGGUUACCACUCGAGCCGCCGGUGUUACCGCGGCGGCUGGCACCGGUCUUGCCCGGCCCUUGCUAUGCAAUGCUUUUUAGGCAUCACGACAGCCAGAUUUGUAACCUGGCACUCGAGGUCCCCUUAUCGCCGUUGCCGGCAUUGUAAAGUUUUCGCGCCUGCUGCACCCCGUAGGGCCUGGAUUCGUGUCUCAAAAUCCAUCUCCGGGCUCUUGCUCUCACAACCCGUACCCGUCGUAUGCUAGUAGGUACGCUACACCCACUACUACCUGAUAGGCCGCAGACCCAUCCUCUGGCGCCGGAGCUUUCGAUCUCGGGGCAUUCCAGCGACCGAGAUCUAUCGGGGAUUAUACCCAGUUUCCCGGGUUUAUACCCGUCCGGAGGGUAGGUUGUCCACGUGUUACUGAGCAGUACGCCAUGUAUUGCUACAUUCGA